AGCGGUCGGGGGAGGAACUCAGGAGAUCUGGGGAGUGACUUGGAGAGGAAUCAAAGAGGAGGCCUACUCAACUAUUUAAAGGUCCUUAAAGGAUGUUGGCUAGAAAGAAUCUGGAACCAGAAAAGAGAGCAUGUAUUUGCUUUGACAUUCGCCGAAAGCCUAAUAAAGAAAGAUGAGUCAUUGAAAAGUUUCACCAUAACAAAGGAAGACCAAAAUAAAGAAGAAGAAGAAGAUGAAGAAGAGCAAGAAAUGUGUGGAAAAAAAAUAAAAAAGGAGAAAAAACUUCUGAAAACACUAGCAAUGCAAAAGAAACUGAUAAAGCAGAAACUUCUGAAAUCACUAGCAAUGCAAAAGACAAUGAAAGAGCACAAACUUCUGUAUCUGUAUUGUCAUCAUUAACAACUAAAAAGGAGAUCCCAUUGUUUACUGCAACUAGAAGGGGAAUACAAGAGAUUGUGGAGCUGAUAAUAAAACUACAUCCUCAUGCUAUUGACCAGCGCGAUGAAAUGAAUCGGAGCAUUUUGGAUGUGGCCGUCAUGUAUCGCCAGAAAAAGAUCUUUGAUAAUGUGAAGGAAAAGAAUUUACCAAUGGCUAGAAUGCGUCAAGGUGUUGAUAAAAGCGGAAACACAUUGUUGCACCAUGUUGCAGAUAUGAAUAAAAACAGUGGAGUAACCAAGCCUGGGCCUGCACUCCAACUUCAGGAGGAGUUGAAAUGGUUUGAGCGAGUGAAAGAGGAAAUUCCUCCUCAUUAUGUCCCGCUUCUGAACAAAGAUGGAAUGACUGCGAGAGAGUGCUUCGAAAAUUCGCUAAGAGAUGCAACUGAAACAAGCACCAAAAUGGAUCAAGGAAACAGCUCAGUCUUGUUCAACUGUAGCUGCACUUGUUGCUACUGUUGUCUUUGCUGCCGCCUAUACUGUGCCCGGAGGUUCUGAUGAAAAAGGCAAGCCAACUUCAUCAACUCUCCCUAUUUUCUGAUUUUCACUGUCUCUGAUGUUGUCUCCUUAGCAAGCUCCUUGACUUCGCUUGUGGUGUUUCUCUCUUUGUUGACCUCUCCAUUUGAGCUACAAGAAUUCCACAUCUCUCUUCCUCGAAAACUUAUUGUUGGCUUCUCCUUCCUCUUCUUUUCUGUGUUAACGACCAUGCUAUCCUAUGGCGCCACAAUUUUGAUACUCAUUCAGACAGAGAGGAGGUUGACAA